GAUGAAGAACGUAGCGAAAUGCGAUAAGUAAUGUGAAUUGCAGAAUUCAGUGAAUCAUCGAAUCUUUGAACGCACCUUGCACCCUUUGGUAUUCCGAAGGGUAUGCUCGUUUGAGUGUCAUUGUACUCUCACACUUCUAAUUCCUUUCGGGAUUGGGAGCGGUGGACUUGGGUGUUGCUGCUUUAGUUGUGGCUCACCUCAAAUAAGUUAGUGCAACUCUUGGUUGGACAUAGUACGGCGUGAUAAGUGUCUUCGCCGGCGCCUCUGUAAGGAGGGUGGCCGAUCGGGAGCUCUCUGCUUCAAACCGUCUUCGGACAAUCUUUGACAACUUGACCUCAAAUCGAGUAGGACUACCCGCUGAACUUAAGCAUAUCAAUAAGCGGAGGA
rnacentral:misc_RNA from 1 species